GACGUAGGGCGCGAGCGUGUCCGGAUUUAUUGGGCGUAAAGAGCUCGUAGGCGGCUUGUCGCGUCGACUGUGAAAACCCGCGGCUCAACCCCCGAGCCUGCAGUCGAUACGGGGCAGACUAGAGUGCGGUAGGGGAGACUGGAAUUCUGGUGUAGCGGUGAAAUGCGCAGAUAUCAGGGAGGAACACCCGGUGGCGAAAGGCGGGGU
rnacentral:rRNA from 1 species